CAGUUGUAUGAAAAGUGAGAAGAUUAGUACUCCUUUCAUAAAAGGAUGGAAGGGGUCCUGACGACCUGACAACACACAAAUGGUUAAAGCUUUGUCAUCUUCUUAGUGGCAUCUAACCAUGUUUUCU